AUAAAAAAUAUGUAAAUAGAAUAUAGUAUAAAUGAGGAUUAAAAAACUGGAAAACAAAGGAUAAGAGUAAGUAAGAAAAAGGGAGAUUAAAAGGCUUCAGUUUUAUCAGGAAUGAAAGAAAAAUAGAUUUAAACACUCAGAGCCUGCUUUUGUAAAAAGAACGGCGAUAAUUCCCUUGACAGUCAAAGAAAGCAUUUAAAGUGAUAUUUACAAUAAAGACACAGUAAAGGGAACAGAACUAAAAACGUUACUAAAUUCACAUUUAAUGGCAAGCUCAAUAUGUCAGUGUUUUUUAUAUGCCCUGUAAAUUGCCCAUUGUUUGAGUAUGUUUUGAACAAACG